rnacentral:lncRNA from 1 species
ACUAUGGCAUGUGAAAAGUAGCUUGAUUUGGGGUCACUGCUAUUCAGUGGAAAAUGUAACCUUGGGAUGGAUAAUGCGGCCCAAAUUUGAACUCUGAAAGACUAUUCACUGGAUUGGAACACCAAUAGAUACCAAUAAAUUAAAAGUAAUUGCUGUUUAUCCUUCAUCAAAAUUACCAUUAUUCUACAAGGUGGCCCUCCAGAGUUAGUGAACUGUGACCUCCACGUGGGAUUUGGACAUGCGUGCCCUACAUCUGGAAUGCAGAAACACUCUUCACAGAACUCUGAUAGCCCAGGAAUAUUUAUGUAAAUCUCUGUCCUGGUAAGGCACAUGUUGAUGUACUUGGGCUUAAGCUCAUAAACCAAGAGGAACAGUUUCCUACAUCUCCCUUCUAAUGACUAAAGCCAACGGGCUGAGCCAAAUGGGACAAUUUAGACAAAGAGAGACUGGCGAAAACCAAA